rnacentral:rRNA from 1 species
UUCCAGACUCCUACGGGAGGCAGCAGUGGGGAAUAUUGGGCAAUGGGCGCAAGCCUGACCCAGCAACGCCGCGUGAAGGAAGAAGGCUUUCGGGUUGUAAACUUCUUUUCUCAGGGACGAAGCAAGUGACGGUACCUGAGGAAUAAGCCACGGCUAACUACGUGCCAGCAGCCGCGGUAAUACGUAGGUGGCAAGCGUUGUCCGGAUUUACUGGGUGUAAAGGGCGUGUAGCCGGGCUGACAAGUCAGAUGUGAAAUCCGGGGGCUCAACCCCCGAACUGCGUUUGAAACUGUUGGUCUUGAGUAUCGGAGAGGCAGGCGGAAUUCCUAGUGUAGCGGUGAAAUGCGUAGAUAUAAGGAAGAACACCAGUGGCGAAGGCGGAUGACUGGACGGCAACUGACGGUGAGGCGCGAAAGCGUGGGGAGCAAACAGGAUUAGAUACCCGGGUAGG